UACGUAGGGUGCAAGCGUUGUCCGGAAUUAUUGGGCGUAAAGAGCUCGUAGGCGGUCUGUCGCGUCUGCUGUGAAAACUCGGGGCUUAACCCCGGGCCUGCAGUGGGUACGGGCAGACUAGAGUGCGGUAGGGGAGACUGGAAUUCCUGGUGUAGCGGUGAAAUGCGCAGAUAUCAGGAGGAACACCGGUGGCGAAGGCGGUUCUCUGGGAAUAUCCUGACGCUGAGGAGCGAAAGUGUGGGGAGCGAACAGG
rnacentral:rRNA from 1 species